ensembl:snRNA U6 U6 spliceosomal RNA
GUGUUCCCUUCAAUAACACUAAAAUUGAAAAAAAAAUACAGAGAUGAUUAGAAUGGCCCCUGUGCAAAGAUAACAUUAAAAUUCAUGAAGUAUUCAAAAGAAGG